UAACCUGGAGUAAAGGAGGCUCAGGGGGCACCUACAACCACCUCAAAAUAGGUUGUAGUGAGGUGUGGGUCAGUCUCUUCUCCCAGCCAACAAGACAGAGGACAAGAAGAAAUGGCCUCAAGUUGUGCCAGGGGAUGCUGAGAUUGGAUAUUGAGAAAAAUUUCUUCACUGGAGAAGUGGAAGGAUACGAGAUCACAUCAGAAUAUUUAAGAAAUUAAAUGAUUGUGGAAGGCAGCAUGCUUAACCAGAAGAAAAUGCCUCUGAGAAUAAGAGAGUCUAUUCCAUGAUCCUUGAUCUGAAUGCAGUACAAGCUGGCCAUAUGCCAGAUAUACUCAGCACAUUAAGAUCUGGAAUUUGCUGCUUAGCUGUCAACUAUAAUUCACAUGCUGAUGCCAGGAAAUAAACUGGAAGUUUCAAGGACAAGGAAGUUUAGAACUGCCAUCUUGUUCUCUCUGUGCCUGACUUCUUCCAGGUGAAUGAGGUUUCCUUUCAUUAGAGGCUAAAAUGGUGGCUGACAAUGGCUUUUUAGGCACCAGCAAAACCAAAUUGCUUAUCUGGAGAGUGGUGCUCCCUCAGCAAGCAAGACAACGAGCAAAUCCAUGGCUGAUCUCUCAGACUAAAUGGCACUGGACACCAGACCUCCGGCCACAGCCUGCAGGACAUCACAGCUCCUGGUUUAUUAUGUAUGUCUGCAGGACAUCGAAGGGUUGAGGUGGGGAUGCAGGACCAGAGGGACUGUUUUCUGUGCAGUCUGGGCCAUCACUAAGCACCUGGAGGUGGGGAGCCCAGGGGGGCUGUUGUAUUCAUCAUGACAAGGUGUUGAGGAGAAGGAGAAACUAGAAGAGAAUCUUCCAUAACUGACUCUGCUUUUUACUUCUUACUCCCUUUGAAAAUAAUAGCUUUGCUUUUCUCCGUUUUUAAAACAGCCUCUGCACCUCUGGGAUCCAAGCAAUAGAUUGUGAAGUUAAUUGCAUGUGAAGGAAGCCCAGUUCCUUUUAUCUCACUCCUGCCUUUGUGUGUCUGUUAUCCAGCUGAGGAUGUUAAAUUCAGUUGUAAUGGGUUUCUUGCUUGAUGAUUAAGUGCUUGUUGUAUCAUGACUAAAUGUUCCUCUAGUGUCUCCUUAUGUUGCCAUUUUGCAAUAGAAUUUUGUACAGGUAGAAAGGUAUCUUGAUUUUCACUCACAUGUGACAAGAUGAAGGAAGCUCACAAACUGGAACUACUGUGGGCAGACAGACCAAAAAUCACUCUAGGAUGCCCCUGACAGGAACUGAACCCAGACUGCAAGACAGGAACCUUUCAUGGUACCAAUGCAAUCCCUGCUGCUUGGGAAACCUGUUUGGUACGUCCACCUGGACCUCCUCCUAAUGUUCCACUGCCGCAGAUGAGCUGGAGCUUUUUGCACAGCCUGCACUUUCCUUUUUAAAAACUACAGAGUUUUGAACAUGUCAGCUUCAUUUAAUGCCUGGCUGUAAAGUGAAUCAAAAAAAAAAAAAAAAUUAAAAUUGUAAAGUAUUUGUGAUGAUGAGAUGUGAAAGUUGUAAAGUAACAAAAAUGGGAUGCAAGCCUUCUAAGAACAUUUCCAGGCACUCAGCAUGAUGCUGGAUAGUCAUGCAGCUCCACUGAAAGACAUUACCAAUGCAUACGUGAAACCUUAUACAAAGACACACAUUGAUGUAGAAUGAAAGUGGUGAUGAAAAAGAACGUCAGAAGGAUGAGAAAUUGCAACUAAAAGCAAUUAGAAGCCAUGCUUAGAUCCAGGCUAUUUUCAGAUUCAGGGAUAAAUAUGAGAAACUACGUUUUCCUCUUUCAAAUAUACGUCCUUCAUGGAGCUACACAAACAUGCGCCUUUGUUUAGAUCAAGCCAAUAUUUCUGUGUGAGAAUGUGAAAUUUCAUCCAGAGGUACUUAAUAAUGUCAAUGGCAUAAAAUUCCUCUUCUCUGGUGUGUUCAAAUUAAACAUUUUUUAAUAAAAACAAUCACAGAAAAGGUGCCCUUAUACUGCACAAUUCUUUCAAGUGAUUAGCAUAUAUUAACUCAAGAAGAAAAGAGUUAACUUUCAAAAUACGCUUAAUUCCAGUGGUGAUGAAAUGGAUGAGAACAAUAAGUAAAUGUAGAUUAGAGAGAGAAACAAAGACUUGGGUAAAAAGCGGGGCCGAAUGCAUGGAGAGAAAUGUAGAAGAAACAUUGUUCGUCUUUCACACAUGUCAUUUACUCAAUAAGAAAUUUCAUAAAAGACUCUCUAAUUAAUGUCUCUCUUCAAUAAGAGAUCCAAACCCUAUUUUCUGACAGUGAUGCGUUAUGCUGGAGGGAGAAGGAGAGAAGCUUCUUUUCCUACAGGUGCUGGUCAUGAUCAUGUCCAUAUGCUGAACUGAAUGACCAGAGAAAUACCUUGCAAAGGACCAAUCUCUCCUCAGGGCCAUCAGCUUUCCUGCUGGAUGCUCUGCAGCUGAGACAACUGAGCCUUGCCUUCAAGCAUUGCACCAACAUGGACACUUACGUUUCUUCUUCUGUUUUCUCUGACAUCCUCGACCCAGUGGGAGUGUGCUGAGUUAAAACAAGGGGCACCCUGACGAUGAAGAAAUGAUUGUGACCUGCGUGAUUGUUGGAAAAGAGUUGAUAGAAGACACAACAGUCAGCAGAUGGAGCCCAGUUCUGACUUAUACUGAAGACAAGAGUUCAACAAGCCUGAAUCCUAAACCAGACUCUGAGUAGGAAUGAACUUAUGAGUGAUGUAAGGUGUUUCAUAAGCAUUGCUGGUGGAUGGGAUUUGUGUUUUAUUAGGACAUUGGUGUAUCAGUGUACUAUGAGGUCAUCAUGGCUUCUACUCCUAUGUGUUCCACAUGUGCUUGUGUCCUAGGGGAUUUUUAGUUGCUUGAAUAAAGCCUAAAAUAAGGAUAAAUAUAUUCAAGGGUGACAGGAGGAGGAGAAGAAUAUUGCAGCAAAACAGUAAGAACAAAUAUAAGCCCAUACAAUGCAUUCUACCCUAGAAAACCUCACCAGGCACGCUAUAAACACCAAGAUGGCAAGUGGAAUUGCUGAGGCAUUACUUGAGUUGGAGCUGUCUCUCCAAGGCAGGAGGGAGAGUACUGAUACCCACUGCUGCCUUUGAAAAGGGCUUCUUAGCAGAAGGGCAUGAUGCAUUCUUUAUCAUCCUCAUUAACUCAAAGAAAUAACCUCCACAACUGAAAAAAUUACUUGUGCAUUGAAAAAACAAUUGGCUUAUUGGAAGACAGUGGCUAAACUCCCAGCCGUGUAACACAGUAUAAUGUGACAGUGGGAGACAAAAACAGAGUUUUAAUGAGAUGUAGUUCUUGCCAAUGCUUUGAAGGGAAUGCUGCUCUUAAGCAGCCUCCAUGCAUCAGUCUGGGCUUGGAAGAAGGCAGAAGAGCUGUCAGUGCAGAGCAGCUCUCAAACCCUGAUCCCUGGGGCAAGAUGCUGGUAGUUGGGAAGAGUUGCCUGGUAACAAGGAGCUGCUGCCUUCUCAUUUCCAGCUGUUAAACUGCAUUGGAAGGAACUGAAUAAUACCAGAAUAGAAACUUAGCUUGUAAUUUGUGGUUUAAUGCAACGAAAUAGGAGUCAUUUUAUGGCAUCUCUAAAUGGUUUAGGACACAAGUCUUUGUGGCAGAGUUCUAGUAGGUCCAUAUUGCAAAACAGGAAAAGGACUUUCUGUAAUUAUUUAUUGAUCAGCUUCUUGUUCCAAUAAGAAUUGUUAGUGGCAUGUGUAAAGGCUGGGGUAAAGGUAAUAGCGGACAGGAUUUUAACAGAGCAGACAAGAAACAGAAAUAACCAAGAAAACAAAAAGUAAUUUUUUUGAAAAUGUAUGCAAAUAUAUGUAUAAAAAUAUCAACAUUUAU